rnacentral:ncRNA from 1 species
CACCUGGUUGAUCCUGCCAGUAGUCAUAUGCUUGUCUCAAAGAUUAAGCCAUGCAUGUCUAAGUAUAAGCUUUAAACGGCGAAACUGCGAAUGGCUCAUUAAAACAGUUAUAGUUUAUUUGGUGAUCGAUUACUAUUUGGAUAACCGUAGUAAUUCUAGAGCUAAUACAUGCGUCAAGGCCCGACUUCGGAAGGGCUGCGUUUAUUAGAUACAGAACCAACCUAGGCUCCGCCUAGUCCUUGUUGGUGAUUCAUAAUAACCCGGCGAAUCGCACGGCUUGUCCGGCGAUGGACCAUUCAAGUUUCUGACC